rnacentral:misc_RNA from 1 species
UUUCCGUAGGUGAACCUGCGGAAGGAUCAUUAGUGAAUAUUAGGGCGUUUCUUUGUAGAGCCCGAUCUCUCACUUCUAACACUGUGCACUUUAAUUAGCAAAUAUAGAAGGAUGAAUUACUUUAUUGUAAUUCGGAAUUCUUAUUUGCGACUUCAUUUCAAACAUUAGUCAAAGUAUGUUAAGAAAUUUUUAUAACAAAAAAAAACUUUCAACAACGGAUCUCUUGGCUCUCGCAUCGAUGAAGAACGCAGC